GACUUUACUGUCAGCUUCGAUUAAAUUUAUACAUGCAAGUUUCCGCACCCCCGUGAGAAUGCCCUACCUUUACCUAGCAAGAGGAAAACAGGAGCUGGUAUCAGGCACAAGCCCGCUUGGCCCAAGACACCUUGCUUAGCCACACCCCCACGGGUACUCAGCAGUAAUAAAUAUUAAGCCAUAAGUGAAAACUUGACUUAGUUAGCAUCAAGAGGGCCGGUAAAACUCGUGCCAGCCACCGCGGUUAUACGAGAGGCCCGAGUUGACAGACACCGGCGUAAAGAGUGGUUAAUAAUGAUUAAACUAAAGCCGAACACCUCCAAGGCUGUCAUACGCGCCUGGAGGCAGGAAGACCCCCGACGAAAGUGGCUUUAACCUAUAUGAACCCACGAAAGCUAGGACACAAACUGGGAUUAGAUACCCCACUAUGCCUAGCCCUAAACAACAAUUACCCUUUACACCAACAUUCGCCAGGGAACAACGAGCCCCAGCUUAAAACCCAAAGGACUUGGCGGUGCUUUAGACCCCCCUAGAGGAGCCUGUUCUAGAACCGAUACUCCCCGUUCAACCUCACCCUUUCUUGUUCUCCCCGCCUAUAUACCGCCGUCGUCAGCUUACCCUGUGAGGGCCUAAUAGUAAGCAGAAUUGGCAAAGCCCAAAACGUCAGGUCGAGGUGUAGCGUACGAAAGGGGAAGAAAUGGGCUACAUUUACUGAGCCAGUAAACACGGAUCAUGCACUGAAAUAAGCAUUUAAAGGAGGAUUUAGCAGUAAGAGGGGACUAGAGAGCCCCCCUGAAAACGGCCCUGAAGCGCGCACACACCGCCCGUCACUCUCCCCAAAACAACCAUUACAAUAAAUAAUAAGAUUUAAACCACAAGGGGAGGCAAGUCGUAACAUGGUAAGUGUACCGGAAGGUGCACUUGGAGAAACC
rnacentral:ncRNA from 1 species